ACAGUGGACGCGAGCAUCUGUGGCCAAGUUUUUAAGGGCGCACGGUGGAUGCCUUGGCACCAGGAACCGAUGAAGGACGUGGGAGGCCGCGAUAGUCCCCGGGGAGUCGUCAACCAGGCUUUGAUCCGGGGGUUUCCGAAUGGGGAAACCCGGCAGUCGUCAUGGGCUGUCACCCACUGCUGAACACAUAGGCAGUGUGGAGGGAACGCGGGGAAGUGAAACAUCUCAGUACCCGCAGGAAGAGAAAACAACCGUGAUUCCGGGAGUAGUGGCGAGCGAAACCGGAUGAGGCCAAACCGUAUGCGUGUGAGACCCGGCAGGGGUUGCGCAUGCGGGGUUGUGGGAUCUCUCUUUUACAGUCUGCCGGCUGUGAGACGAGUCAGAAACCGUUGAUGUAGGCGAAGGACAUGCGAAAGGUCCGGCGUAGAGGGUAAGACCCCCGUAGUCGAAACGUCAGCGGCUCGUUUGAGAGACACCCAAGUAGCACGGGGCCCGAGAAAUCCCGUGUGAAUCUGGCGGGACCACCCGCUAAGCCUAAAUAUUCCCUGGUGACCGAUAGCGGAUAGUACCGUGAGGGAAUGGUGAAAAGUACCCCGGGAGGGGAGUGAAAUAGUACCUGAAACCGUGUGCCUACAAGCCGUGGGAGCGUCGGACAUCAGCUUGCUGGUGUCUCGUGACUGCGUGCCUUUUGAAGAAUGAGCCUGCGAGUUUGCGGUGUGUUGCGAGGUUAACCCGGGUGGGGUAGCCGUAGCGAAAGCGAGUCCGAAUAGGGCGAUUCAGUAGCACGCUCAAGACCCGAAGCGGAGUGAUCUAGCCAUGGGCAGGUUGAAGCGGAGGUAAGACUUCGUGGAGGACCGAACCCACCAGGGUUGAAAACCUGGGGGAUGACCUGUGGUUAGGGGUGAAAGGCCAAUCAAACUCCGUGAUAGCUGGUUCUCCCCGAAAUGCAUUUAGGUGCAGCGUCGUGUGUUUCUUGCCGGAGGUAGAGCACUGGAUAGGCGAUGGGCCCUACCGGGUUACUGACCUUAGCCAAACUCCGAAUGCCGGUAAGUGAGAGCGCGGCAGUGAGACUGUGGGGGAUAAGCUCCAUGGUCGAGAGGGAAACAGCCCAGAGCAUCGACUAAGGCCCCUAAGCGUACGCUAAGUGGGAAAGGAUGUGGAGUCGCACAGACAACCAGGAGGUUGGCUUAGAAGCAGCCACCCUUGAAAGAGUGCGUAAUAGCUCACUGGUCUAGUGAUUCCGCGCCGACAAUGUAGCGGGGCUCAAGCGUACCGCCGAAGUCGUGUCAUUGACACAUAUAGUCCCAACGGGUGUGUUGAUGGGUAGGGGAGCGUCGUCUGCCGGGUGAAGCAGCACCGGAAGGUAGUUGUGGACGGUUGACGAGUGAGAAUGCAGGCAUGAGUAGCGAUACAAACGUGAGAAACGUUUGCGCCGAUUGACUAAGGGUUCCUGGGUCAAGCUGAUCUGCCCAGGGUAAGUCGGGACCUAAGGCGAGGCCGACAGGCGUAGUCGAUGGAUAACCGGUUGAUAUUCCGGUACCCGCUGUGAAGCGUCAAACAUCGAAUCCAGUGAUGCUAAGCCCGUGAAGCAGCCCCUGAUCUCUUCGGAGUGAGGGGGAGUGGUGGAGCCGGUGACCCGAGCUGGUAGUAGGUGAGUGAUGGGGUGACGCAGGAAGGUAGUCCAUCCCGGGCGGUGGUUGUCCCGGGGUAAGGGUGUAGGACGGUGUGUAGGCAAAUCCGCACGCCAUAAGUCUGAGACCUGAUGCCGAGCCGAUUGUGGUGAAGUGGAUGAUCCUAUGCUGUCGAGAAAAGCCUCUAGCGAGUUUCAUGGCGGCCCGUACCCUAAACCGACUCAGGUGGUCAGGUAGAGAAUACCGAGGCGUUCGGGUGAACUAUGGUUAAGGAACUCGGCAAAAUGCCCCCGUAACUUCGGGAGAAGGGGGGCCAUUCCUGGUGACCGGCUUUGCGCCGUGAGCUGGGGGUGGCCGCAGAGACCAGCGAGAAGCGACUGUUUACUAAAAACACAGGUCCGUGCGAAGCCGUAAGGCGAUGUAUACGGACUGACGCCUGCCCGGUGCUGGAACGUUAAGGGGACCGGUUAGUGACCUUUCGGGGUUGCGAAGCUGAGAACUUAAGCGCCAGUAAACGGCGGUGGUAACUAUAACCAUCCUAAGGUAGCGAAAUUCCUUGUCGGGUAAGUUCCGACCUGCACGAAUGGCGUAACGACUUCUCGACUGUCUCAACCAUAGGCCCGGUGAAAUUGCACUACGAGUAAAGAUGCUCGUUUCGCGCAGCAGGACGGAAAGACCCCGGGACCUUUACUACAGUUUGAUAUUGGUGUUCGGUUCGGCUUGUGUAGGAUAGCUGGGAGACUGUGAAGCUCAUACGCCAGUAUGGGUGGAGUCGUCGUUGAAAUACCAGUCUGGUCGUGCUGGAUGUCUAACCUGGGUCCGUGAUCCGGAUCAGGGACAGUGUCUGAUGGGUAGUUUAACUGGGGCGGUUGCCUCCCAAAGGGUAACGGAGGCGCCCAAAGGUUCCCUCAGCCUGGUUGGCAAUCAGGUGUUGAGUGUAAGUGCACAAGGGAGCUUGACUGUGAGACCGACGGGUCGAGCAGGGACGAAAGUCGGGACUAGUGAUCCGGCGGUGGCUUGUGGAAGCGCCGUCGCUCAACGGAUAAAAGGUACCCCGGGGAUAACAGGCUGAUCUUCCCCAAGAGUCCAUAUCGACGGGAUGGUUUGGCACCUCGAUGUCGGCUCGUCGCAUCCUGGGGCUGGAGUCGGUCCCAAGGGUUGGGCUGUUCGCCCAUUAAAGCGGUACGCGAGCUGGGUUUAGAACGUCGUGAGACAGUUCGGUCCCUAUCCGCUGUGCGCGUAGGAGUCUUGAGAAGGGCUGUCCCUAGUACGAGAGGACCGGGACGGACGAACCUCUGGUGUGCCAGUUGUUCUGCCAAGGGCAUGGCUGGUUGGCUACGUUCGGGAGGGAUAACCGCUGAAAGCAUCUAAGCGGGAAGCCUGCUUCGAGAUGAGGACUCCCACCCACUUGAUGGGGUAAGGCUCCCAGUAGACGACUGGGUUGAUAGGCCGGAUCUGGAAGCACCGCAAGGUGUGGAGGUGACCGGUACUAAUAGGCCGAGGGCUUGUCCUCAGUUG
rnacentral:rRNA from 1 species